GCCAGGUUUGGUGGUGCGUGCCUGUAAUUUCGGCUACUUGGAAGGGUGAGACAAAGGGUCACAGGAGCUCUGGGUUGUAGUGCUCUAUGCCCAUCGCUCAUCCACGUGUCCACACUAAGUUUGGCUUCAAUAUGGUCAAUAUGGUGACCUCUCAGGAGUAGGAGACAACCAGGUUGCCUAAGAAGCGGUCGACUGGUUCAGGUCAUAAACAGAGCACUUCAAAAUUCUCCUUCUAAUCAAUAGUGGGAUAGUACCUGUGAAUAGCCUCUGCACUCCAGCCCUGGCAGCAUAGCAAGACUCUGACUUU
ensembl:misc_RNA Metazoa_SRP Metazoan signal recognition particle RNA